GUGAGGUUGAAGCUUUAGAAGCCUUGUUAUGACCCCACAGACCAUGCCAGGUGAGGUUGAAGCUUUAGAAGCCUUGUUAUGACCCCACAGACCAUGCCAGGUGAGGUUGAAGCUUUAGAAGCCUUGUUAUGACCCUACAGACCAUGCCAGGUGAGGUUGAAGCUUUAGAAGCCUUGUUAUGAC